rnacentral:rRNA from 1 species
GCACUAGCGCGGUGGUCCCACCUGCCCCCAUGCCGACCUCAGAAGUGAAACGCCGUAGCGCCGAUGGUAGUGUGGGGUCUCCCCAUGUGAGAUUAGGGAACUGCC